GCCAGCAGCCGCGGUCAUACGGAGGGUGCGAGCGUUCAUCGGCAUUACUGGGCGUAAAGCGCACGCAGGCGGUCCGUCAAGUCGGAUGUGAAAUCCCCGGGCUCAACCUGGGAACUGCAUUCGAAUCUGGCAGGCUAGAGUCUUGUAGAGGGGGGUAGAAUUCCAGGUGUAGCGGUGAAAUGCGUAGAGAUCUGGAGGAAUACCGGUGGCGAAGGCGGCCCCCUGGACAAAGACUGACGCUCAGGUGCGAAAGCGUGGGGAGCAAACAGGAUUAGAUACCCUGGUAGUCCACGCCGUAAACGAUGUCGACUUGGAGGUUGUGCCCUUGAGGCGUGGCUUCCGGAGCUAACGCGUUAAGUCGACCGCCUGGGGAGUACGGCCGCAAGGUUAAAACUCAAAUGAAUGGACGGGGGCCCGCACAAGCGGUGGAGCAUGUGGUAUAAUACGAUGCAACGCGAAGAACCUUACCUACUCUUGACAUCCAGAGAACUGACCAGAGAUGGAUUGGUGCCUUCGGGAACUCUGAGACGGGUGCUGCAUGGCUGUCGUCAGCUCGUGUGGUGAAAUGUCGGGUUCAGCUCCGCAACGAGCGCAACCCUGAUUCUUAGUCGCCAGCGGGUCGGCCUGGAACUCACACGAGACUGCCAGUGAUAAGCUGAGGAAUUGUUGGGAUGACGGUCAGUCAUCAUGGCUCU
rnacentral:rRNA from 1 species